AGCUGUAGCCCUACUGAGACAUGACUACUGGCAACGCGAGACUUGAAAGUUAGUAUACAUCAGAGUUGCCAGAUCUCGCGAUAAACACAUCCGCCAGUUUUAAACGAGGGAUACGUUACGAUGGCGGCCUUUAAGCAAGCAACGGGCGAGAGUUUACUGCAAAUACUGGAAGCGAAAAGACAUUUACUUUGGUCUUUUAUGGAUCCCAUUUACCCGAGAGACUGGCGCCAACUGAGAGACCCAUCUGAUGCUCUUGCUACAUCAAGUAGCAGCUUAGAUGAAGAUCUAGAUUUGGAUGUAGCAACCAAUUUAUUUUCUCAUUUAUGUUUUUUAUUACCGCAUGUUGUUAAAAUUGUUUAUUUGUAUUUAUAAUAAUAUUGUAUCAAUAAUUCCUUUAUAUUUUCAUCAUGUUGUAUUAUCUUAAGUUGUCUAUGUUGUAAUCCUUUUUCUUAGUAAAGUCUUUAUAUUUAAUUUGUUUGGACAGAUUACCAUUUAUGAGAACCUGUUAUGUUUAAGUAAAAACAAUCACUAUUGUGAACCACUAUUCUGUUGUCUAUUAGAGGUAGAUAUGUAGUCAUUCAAAAGCUGUGUAUUUGGUCUAUUCUUGGGCUAUGGUUAGACUAUUAACUUUUCACUGACAGCCCAAAUUCAACCUUUUUAGCCUAGAACCAUUUUCACCAUCUAAUACACGUCUAUAUGUAGCCGUUCAAUGGUAGUCUAAUUGAUGACUAGAAUAUUUUUGGGCUAGACGUCUACCAAACCUUCACUGACAGCCCUGUUAGCCUAGACCCAUUUUCAACGUCUAUUAGAUGUCUAUAUGUAGCCGUUCAAUAGUGGUCUAAUUCAUGAGUAGGCUAUUUUGGGCUAUGGUUAGACGUCUAACAAACUUUCACUGACAGCCCAAAUUCAGCCCUGUUUUAGCCUAGACGCCUGGGCUCUGUUUAGGUGUCUAUUAGACAUCUUUUAACCGUGAAAUUGCUUGCUGGGUAGGUAGCCAAUUGCCACCAGCAUGUAGUCCCGUCGGGUUAAAGCUUAAUAAAUAUGGCCUUCCUAUUUAAAAUCGAAUGUAAUGGGCUGUAGCACUUCAUUCAUUAAGGAAAGUCCAGUAAAUGAUUGAGCAACGCUGUAUAGUAGCCUAAUAAUGUUAACGCAUUUAUCCUCCUUCCACUUCUGCGUUUUAGAGCCUAUCAGGGUCCGCGGUCGCACGCAUUCUAGACCACCCCAUUAAAAUGGAAGCUCUGACUUUAUUUACCCGUUGCCAUGGUGAAUUGUAGUAUCGGAGCUCCAUUGAUGAUGACUUUCAUCCCUACGCACGCGCUUCCAUCAGGCUCAACAUACUCAGAGUUGAUUGAACUUAUUCUGAUCAGCUGUUCUGGUACCAAAAAUUCAAAGUUUCCCACCUCAGACUCAAUCAACCCAGAGCUCAGGGAUAAACUCAGAGUUUGUUAAGCCUGCUUUCUGAAACAGAGCCCUGACUGUUUUGAACUGUUUUUGAUGCUUUUUAGAAGCAUUGUUGUGUUUUGUAAUAAAACUAAAACAUAUGUUACUGGCAUAAACAGUAAAACAACAAAAUGGUUUCAGUAUACCUGGUCUCUUGUGAACGUGUAGAGAUUGGCCUGACAUUAUAUUCCUGGCCUGAAUUAUUAUCGCAGCGUGUUGGUACUACAAAGAUCAUUUAUGAGGCAAAAGAAGCAUCACUCAGUAAUGCUGUGCUACAACCAUGAGUGAACUGCUUGUUUUCGUAGUUCAACAAAGUGUCUAACCUUCUCUAGAGAAAUGAUCUAGCAGGCUGCCUUAGGUCAACUUCAAAACAAUCUCUCAGUUAAAGUUUCUUGCAUAUCAUAUCAAUAUUUUAAGCUGAUCAAUUUAAUAGUUCUGAAUUGGGAUCUCCAGUCUUCGGUGGGGUGUCAGAUCAGAUAACGCAAAUUGUGUCGUCCUAGAGGGCAUGAAAAACACCACAUUUUGUCAUUUAUAGGACUUGAUGUGUCUGCCUUCUCAUGAUCACUGAUUGGGGAACUUUCAGCUAAAUUAUUUAUAACUUUAGUUAGUUAAAAAUGUUGGAAGCUAAAUCUAAUUAGACACACAAUAAGAGAUUGAAAAGGAUUCAGAUUUAAUACCCGGAUAUGAUCCAAAUUCAGAUUUGAUACUCAAAUCCUGGUCUCAGUACUUAAUUCAUCUUGUCUGCGCAGCAGGAUUGAGCUUUCAGGCCCCUUAUCAUCAACAAGGCCACCAUAGACGGACAAAAUAAUUGUUUUUUUUCAGAUCAUGCAUUAGAUUUCUUUGUUCUCAGAGGUCAAAGUCAAGUGUGAUCUCAUCCCACAGAGAGGAGCUCGGCUCAUCUAGAGGGUUUUACAUUCAUGGAGAGUAGUGUUUCCACUGUCAGAUGGAAUAUGAAAUUAGUUCUCUUUUAAUGUCUGGUCUCUCAUUUCAAAGUGCCUGCUAUUCUUGCAGUUCACGCAAGGCAACUCACCAAGACACUGUAACUUUUACUACUGAUCUGAAAGAAUAAAGAACUCUCCAAGGCUUA